CUGCUUGGAAACUGUGAGGCCCUAAGUUCAAAGCCAAGAACACCUGGUGUGCAGUGACUGCAGACAGCAGCCUCCUUGGUAGUGUAUGCAGCCUCUUGUUUGUGUAGGUUGCUCUAAGGGACCUUGGAAACAGGU
rnacentral:snoRNA from 1 species